rnacentral:rRNA from 1 species
UUUGAUCCUGGCUCAGAACGAACGCUGGCGGCAUGCCUAAUACAUGCAAGUCGAACGAAGGCUUCGGCCUUAGUGGCGCACGGGUGCGUAACGCGUGGGAAUCUGCCCUUGGGUUCGGAAUAACGUCUGGAAACGGACGCUAAUACCGGAUGAUGACGUAAGUCCAAAGAUUUAUCGCCCAGGGAUGAGCCCGCGUAGGAUUAGCUAGUUGGUGAGGUAAAGGCUCACCAAGGCGACGAUCCUUAGCUGGUCUGAGAGGAUGAUCAGCCACACUGGGACUGAGACACGGCCCAGACUCCUACGGGAGGCAGCAGUAGGGAAUAUUGGACAAUGGGCGAAAGCCUGAUCCAGCAAUGCCGCGUGAGUGAUGAAGGCCUUAGGGUUGUAAAGCUCUUUUANCCCGGGAUGAUAAUGACAGUACCGGGAG